GGGUAGUUUGACUGGGGCGGUCUCCUCCUAAAGAGUAACGGAGGAGCACGAAGGUUGGCUAAUCCUGGUCGGACAUCAGGAGGUUAGUGCAAUGGCAUAAGCCAGCUUGACUGCGAGCGUGACGGCGCGAGCAGGUGCGAAAGCAGGUCAUAGUGAUCCGGUGGUUCUGAAUGGAAGGGCCAUCGCUCAACGGAUAAAAGGUACUCCGGGGAUAACAGGCUGAUACCGCCCAAGAGUUCAUAUCGACGGCGGUGUUUGGCACCUCGAUGUCGGCUCAUCACAUCCUGGGGCUGAAGUAGGUCCCAAGGGUAUGGCUGUUCGCCAUUUAAAGUGGUACGCGAGCUGGGUUUAGAACGUCGUGAGACAGUUCGGUCCCUAUCUGCCGUGGGCGCUGGAGAACUGAGGGGGGCUGCUCCUAGUACGAGAGGACCGGAGUGGACGCAUCACUGGUGUUCGGGUUGUCAUGCCAAUGGCACUGCCCGGUAGCUAAAUGCGGAAGAGAUAAGUGCUGAAAGCAUCUAAGCACGAAACUUGCCCCGAGAUGAGUUCUCCCUGACUCCUUGAGGGUCCUGAAGGAACGUUGAAGACGACGACGUUGAUAGGCCGGGUGUGUAAGCGCAGCGAUGCGUUGAGCUAA
rnacentral:rRNA from 1 species